rnacentral:rRNA from 1 species
CCGCAUAAGCCCACGGUACCGCAUGGUACUGAGGGAAAAGGAAUUAUUCGCUUUAGGAUGGACUCGCGUCCAAUUAGCUAGUUGGUGAGGUAACGGCCCACCAAGGCGACGAUUGGUAGCCGGACUGAGAGGUUGAACGGCCACAUUGGGACUGAGACGCGGCCCAGACUCCUACGGGAGGCAGCAGUGGGGGAUAUUGCACAAUGGGGGAAACCCUGAUGCAGCGACGCCGCGUGGAGGAAGAAGGUUUUCGGAUUGUAAACUCCUGUCGUUAGGGACGAUAAUGACGGUACCUAACAAGAAAGCACCGGCUAACUACGUGCCAGCAGCCGCGGUAAAACGUAGGGUGCAAGCGUUGUCCGGAAUUACUGGGUGUAAAGGGAGCGCAGGCGGGAAGACAAGUUGGAAGUGAAAACCAUGGGCUCAACCCAUGAAUUGCUUUCAAAACUGUUUUUCUUGAGUAGUGCAGAGGUAGAUGGAAUUCCCGGUGUAGCGGUGGAAUGCGUAGAUAUCGGGAGGAACACCAGUGGCGAAGGCGGUCUACUGGGCACCAACUGACGCUGAGGCUCGAAAGCAUGGGUAGCAAACAGGAUUAGAUACCCUGGUAGUCCAUGCCGU